rnacentral:pre_miRNA from 1 species
AAGAGAGCCAUCUGUUGACAGUUUGCCUUUGAAAUUACUGUCAUGGAGUUGCUCUCUUA